rnacentral:rRNA from 1 species
AUGGAAGCGGACCUCAAAGGGGUAGCCAGCAAACUUAUGACUAUGCAGGAUGUGCUGGGUCAAUGGGCGCAGAGAGAGUUUGAUUCGGUUCAGAACAGCAUUCGAUCUCUCCGAGGGAGCCUGCAUAAACUGCGCCUGCUUCCCCCAACCCCAGGAACUGUUUUAAGAAUAAAGCAGAUUGAAACAGACCUUGAUGAAUGGCUAUUACGGGAGGAGCUAAUGUGGAAGCAGAGAUCAAGGAUAAAGUGUCUGCGGGAAGGAGACAAGAACACAGACUUUUUUCACAGGAAAGCGACAUGGAGGAGAAAGAAAAACAAAAUUGAAAAACUGAAGAGAGAGGACGGGUCAUGGGCUGAUAACAGAGAGCAGAUUCAGAAAGAAAUCAAUGAUUAUUUCAAGGGGCUAUAUGAGAGGGACAACAAUGUGGAUCCUCAACCGCUAUUAGACUUGCUCCCUAACAAGGUUGAGAGCUACAUGAACGAUGCUCUGAUCAAGCCGUUUACAGAGAAGGAGGUCAGCGACGCGCUCUUCCGGAUUGGUCCACUAAAGGCGCCGGGACCGGACGGUUUCCCAGCACGGUUCUUCCAAAGGAAUUGGGCAGUUCUCAAAGAGGAAAUCAUUCAGGGUGUUCUCAGUUUCUUUGCGGAGGGUGAGAUGCCGGAAGGGGUGAACGUAACCACGAUUGUUCUGAUCCCAAAGACAAAGGAUCCACAAUGCAUCAAAGAUUACCGCCCAAUUAGCCUAUGCAAUGUCUUGUACAAAAUCAUUUCUAAGGUGUUGGUCAAUAGGCUGCGGCCUUUCCUGGAUGAUCUUAUCUCUGAGACUGAGAGCGCUUUCAUCCCAGGAAGAAUGAUCACAGAUAACGCAAUCAUUGCGUUCGAGUGUUUCCACAAGAUCCAGAACAGCAAAAACACAAGGGGUUCUCACUGCGCUUACAAGCUAGACCUUGAAAAAGCAUAUGAUCGUGUUGACUGGGAAUUCUUGGAAGGGGCUCUAAGGAAGUGGGGUUUUGACGAAAAAUGGAUCAAGUGGGUCAUGGUGUGUGUCAGAUCAGUAAAAUUUUCAGUCCGGUGCAAUGGUGAGAUGCUGGAUCUGUUUAUCCCAACUAGAGGAUUAAGACAAGGUGACCCCCUCAGCCCAUACCUAUUUUUGUUUGUGGCGGAUGGUUUAGUCUCCCUUCUGAAGAAAGAGUCGGAAUUGGGAAGCAUCACACCCAUCAAGAUUGCUCGUGGAAGCCCGGGGAUCUCAAACCUGCUGUUCGCCGAUGACAGCCUCCUUUUUUUCAAGGCAUCGGCUGAUCAGGCACAGAAAGUGAGAGAGGUGUUGGACUCUUAUCAAAGUGCUACGAGCCAACUGCUCAGUCGUGCCAAAUGCUCACUACUCCUUCCAGAAUCAAUCCCAACCCAGGUAAGAGAGAGCAUCAAGGAGACGCUGGAGGUUGAGGCAAUAUGUUUUGAGAGUAAGUACCUAGGGCUCCCUACCCCCGAAGGCAGAAUGAAGAAUGAUAAAUUCCAGCCUAUCAUAGAGAGGUUUGGAAAAAGAUGCAAUGGAUGGAAUGGAAGAUUCAUGUCACAGGCAGCCAAGGAGGUUAACGUUAAGGCUGUGGCACAAGCUCUUCCCACCUUUAUCAUGGGCGUGUUCAGACUAAACCAGAGUUUCUGUGACAAGUAUGAGAAACUUAUUAGGGACUUCUGGUGGGGGGAUAAGGAGGACAAGAGGAAAGUUCACUGGAUGUCGUGGGAGAAUAUGACAAAGCCUAAGAGAGCAGGAGGCAUAGGGUUCCGUGAUAUGCACCUCUUCAACCAAGCCUUACUGGCCAGGCAAGGGUGGAGAUUAAUCCAAAACCCGAAUAGCCUGUGUGCAAGGGUCCUCAAGUCAAAAUAUUUUCCUAACGGGAACAUACUUGAUACUGUCUUUGCUUCGGAUGUAUCUCCUGCGUGGAGAGGUAUUGAGUUUGGGCUGGAAUUACUUAAGAAGGGACUUAUUUGGCGAGUUGGAAAUGGUAGAAAGAUUCAAAUAACGAGGGACCAAUGGAUACUAAGAAAGGAAGGCUUGAAAGCGGCCUCCUUUGUGAGAAGAACAAGGCUCAGAUGGGUCAAUCAAGUCAUUGAUGAAGAGACUAAAGAAUGGAAAUAUGAGCUGGUGCAUCAGAUUUUUCAUGACUUUGAUGUGGAGGACAUCUGUAGGAUGAGAAUCCCAACAACUGAAGUAGAGGAUACUGUGGCUUGGCAUUAUGAGAAAAAUGGGAUAUUCUCGGUGAAGAGUGCAUACAAACUUGCAGAUUCUUUGAAAAGGAACACCAUAGCCGAGGCAUCCACUUCAGGGAACGAUCCAGAGGAUCGCGGAAUUUGGGAUGCUAUCUGGAAAGCGAAGAUACCAAAUAAGGUGAAAUUUUUUGGUUGGAGAGUGGCGACAAAAACCCUUGCCACUGAACAAAAUGCUUGCAGGAGAACUAUGGCCAUUGAUAGUGUGUGUGACAUAUGUGGCACGGCUCCCGAAGAUGAAUUCCAUGCUGUCAUUGCGUGUACCAGGAGCAAAGCACUUAGACAUGAAAUGAGGAGGCAUUGGGAGCUGCCAAGGGAAGGUGACAUUUGGGAUACAGGACCAGAUUGGCUACAACUCCUCCUUCUCGCAAACACUGAGGCAGUCAGAAGUAAUACACUCCUACUGCUAUGGCAGGCUUGGAACCUGAGAAACAACGUUGUCCAUGGAGACGGGAAGGAAAGGGUUGCAGGAGCGGUGCUUGCUCUAAUCAGGCUGCAAGAGGAUCUGGGAAUAGCGGAAAGUGGCCAAGGGGAUGAUAAGAACAUAAACAAACUGUCAGUCUUUCCGACGGUGCCCCAGAUUUCUGCUCACCCUACACCUGAUCACUGGGAGGCCCCCCCCUCUGGGUGUAGCUAA